AGCUGUUUGUCACGCAAUUGCUUCCAAAACUUGCAGCCUUAGAGGUCAAGAAUAUGACAAGCAGCUAACUUUUGGAGACUAUAUAUAUGAAAGCACAUAAAUUGACAAAAGAUUUGGAAGUUGUUGGAUGUAAGACAAAGAACUGACGGCCAAUGGGCUACACAACCCAUACACAUGCGAUCCAAUCCCAGGAUUGGAUGGGACUCAAUUCUCCACCCAAAAAAAUUGUAGGGGUAAAAUUAUCUCCUAUAAUUAAGAAUAGAAUACAUAUCUCUCUAGUAUUAUGUGAAGAUAAAUAUUCAGACUCUAUUAUAAUAAAAUUAUUAAGGAUAAUCUAGAUAGAUUUUUUAUUGUAAAUAUUAGUGUGUGUAUAUAUAUAUAUAAGUGAAUCUAAUGCACGAUUGGAAACUAAUUUGUCUCUCUAUAAUUUGAGGUAGAAUAGAUAUGCCUCUACAAUUAUAUAAAGAUAAAAAUUAGGGCGGUUAUACUAUAGUAGAAUUAUUAAAGAUAGUCUUGAUAGAUUUUGAUUUAUCUAUUUGUAAUUUAGGGUAGAAUAAAAUAUUUUUUUCCAAUAUUAUGUGAGGAAUAGAAAUUCAGACUAUACUAUAAUAAAAUUAUGAAGAAUAAUCACAAUAAAUUUAUUAUGGUAAAUAUUAGUGUAUUAAAGAAAAAAAGAAGAAAAGAAGUAAAUCUGACGCCGGACAAGCAGCUUAGAUCCAAAGACAAAGCCUUCUAGAAGUGAGUCUAUUGUGGGAUUGACAAUUUAUCUCAUUGUCAAGUAUAUAUCUUGGGACCCACAAAGGUGGCUAUACAGGAUUUAGGGAAUUCCAGACAAAUUUUUCUUACGAGACUUCUUUAUGUUUAGUAACUUUAACACUUAAAAGAAACAUAAAGAAAUAUCAAAAUUAAUUAAAAUUUUUAAUUAUAUCUUAAAAUUUAAUAAUAAUCAGCAAAUUAGUAAGAAAUUGUAAAAAAGAAAAAUAGUCAACAAGAUGUUUUUUUUUAACUUCUAUUUGAAUCUUUAUUCUUUUUUUUUUUUUUUGCUUCAAAAGUGAGCUAACAAAUUUUUAUUAGAUAAGAACAUAAGAAAUUUAGUAAUGUUAAAUAUUUAUUUUUUUUAAAUUGAAAGACAAUAAAAAUUUUACUUUUUUAUAAAAUUUAAUAAAAAUUUAAUGGCAAUACAAAUAUUUUAAUUAUAACUCUCUAACAUUAAGGUUAUUGAAUAUAUUUGUAUAAAAAUGUUAGUUGUAGGAUUUAAAUUGAAAUGACAAAGAAUUUAAAUUAUUUUUGGAAAAAAAUUAACAAUAAUUUAACUGUUAGACAAAUAUUAUUAAUUAUAACUCUUUAAUAUAAAGACUAUCAAAUAUAUUUGUAUAAGAUAAUUAAUUAUUACUUAAGAAGAAGUCAAGUAAGCUUUUUUUUACUAAAAAAAUUAUUAAUUCAAGUAUUAUUAGAGAAAUAUCAUAGACUGCCUAGGUGAUCCACACUAAAAGCCGCCAAAAAUUAUAAAUUAGGCAUGACCAUAAAUAAAAAAAAUGAUAUUUUGGACAUCUCGAUUUCGAUUUCGCUUACUUACAUAUGCGGUCCUGUAAAGUCUGAUUUCAAAGUUGACUGUUGUACAUCUGACCUUUUACGUCACACUUUCACCGCGUUAUCACAUCACACCACCCGCACACUUCACCAAUUUCCCCAAGCCACAAAUUUUAUAAUUGGCAGCAAGCCACCUUGGAUCAGCUCCAAGGUAGCGCAGCCACCACAAUCAUUUGGAUGCAUGUACUUGAACUUAGAAUAAUUAUGAUAGAGUGCAUCUAAUGACCGGUAGCCAAGCGCUUUAUAAUUUUAACUAGUAUUCUUUUCUAGAAAGCGUACACGUGUCGCACUGGCGCCGAUUAAUGACAGUUUACUUUCUUUAAAAACUAACUCCAAGCCGUAAGCCCUCCCUCUUGUGUUUUGUGGUGAAGUAAACUCUUCCUACUCAAACACUGUACGGAGGCCAUCAUAUCAUCUGAGUAUGGAUCGUCCGUCGCCGGCAGACACCGCCCUCGCCAGCAGCUCAAUCUUCACCGUCCACCCUGAUAUCAUGAAAACUCAUGUCUUAACACGAUUAGACGCUUCUGCCCUUGCCUCCGCCUCCUGCGUCUCCUCUCAGCUCUACUCCCUCACUUCCUACGAAACUCUCUGGACAAACAUUUGCAACUCCACGUGGCCCUCCACCAACACUCCACGUCUGCGCCGCGUCAUCUCGUCCUUCCCCAAGGGGGCCCGCUCCUUCUUCUCCGACUCCAUCACUAACCCCGACAACGCAACCCCUUCCUCUCCCAAUCUCGACCUUCCAUCGGAAUUACUAUCAGCCGUUGAUAUUUACUAUCAGGACAGGCACAUCUUCGGUAAAGUUGUCAAAACAGAAACAUUCGAGGGCUCCCCGUUCAGAAUUGACUUACUUGACCCGCAGGACUCGGUGCCAACCGGGCUAAAUCAGCCGUUCAACGAGGGCGAGGGAAGUGAACUCAGCGAGUAUUUUAGGUUGAGUUGGAUUCUGAUCGACCCAAUCGGACGGCGGGCGAUGAAUUUAUCGAGCUGCAAGCCGGUGACCGUGGAAAGUUGGAGGUUUAUGACAGGAAAAGUGCGCAUGCGUUAUGCAUGUGUAUUCUCUACAGGGGAAGAUGAGUUCGUUCACUGUGAGAUUAUGGUCAAGUGCAAGGGGUCUCAGAGUGGGGAGAUGCGCGUGAGGAAGGUGAGGUUGCUCUUGGAAGACACGUGUGAAAAGCAAUUGAGCGGGAAGGAUGGUCUGGUAACUUUACUCAAGGGAAUGGUGGGUAAAAGAGUAAUUGUAAGAGGGAGAGAAGAGGAAGCAAAGCGGAGAUACAAAACGCAUUUGAAAAUGAGCACGGAAAAGAUGCAACUCGCGAGCGAGCUGCGGACGCGACAAUGGAUAUUAGUAGAGGCGUCGUUUGUUGCUUUAUAUUUGCUUAUCUUGGGUUUAUUUGUUUUCGUGGGCCGGAUUUAAUUUCCCCACCUUUCGGAACCUUAUAGAAGAAAGAGUGGAGUUACCGGCACACCCCUGAAUAAUUCUUUCGCAACCUCUUCUGUAAACAUACCCCCGUCUAAUAAUUUCAAAACUUACCUUUUUCUCUUAUAAACACUACCUUCAAAUUCAAUUCUCUGAAUACCCUUGUCUACUAUUAAAAAAUAAAGUUUGUAGAGAACCGAGUUUAAUAAUCCACUUCGAAGCCUUGAAAUUACAUACGAAAAGAGUGGAGUUUUAUAAGGAAGCAGACGACAAUUUUUAUAUGCUGGAGACUAAUUAGUAUUUUUCAAUCUAUGGAGGAGAGGAGAAACUUUAAUAAAAUAAGGAACCCCCAAUCCUCCGUCAAGAAGUAAAAGUGAUGAAGUUUGUGUCAUGAUCAUGCGGAGAUUUCUCUUUAAGACUAAUUUCUUCUUGUAGAAUGUUUGAAACAGAAAAGUUAUAAGGUUGCUUUAAUCCCAAUUGCAUGCAUCAAUGAAGCAUAUGUAUUUUGGAAAUAUUUGGGAUUAGCUCAUCAUCAAAUUUGAACGAACAAUUUACAAAUAUUAGUACAAAUUUAUAAACAUAUACAACCAAUUCCUUAUUAUUUAAGCCUUUUUCUCCAUUGUUUUGAAAGGCUGUAGAGAAGAGAGGUAUCAAAAACGAAUUGUGCAGGCUGCUGAGGUUUCGUACUUCAUUAUAUCUUUAUUGUCUUUUAAUGUAACUUUAUAGAUGGUUAAAAUCGUAAAAACAGAAACGGGGUUUCAAUAGGAUUAUUACUCUAGAAGAAAAUGGAGAGAAAGGGACAGCGCAAGAAAUUAAGCAAAG
rnacentral:lncRNA from 1 species